UCUGCAACUCGAGUGCAUGAAGCUGGAAUCGCUAGUAAUCGCGAAUCAGAAUGUCGCGGUGAAUACGUUCCCGGGUCUUGUACACACCGCCCGUCACACCAUGGGAGCCGACAACGCCCGAAGUCAGUGACCUAACCGAGAGGGAGGAGCUGCCGAAGGCGGGGUUGGUAACUGGGGUGAAGUCGUAACAAGGUAUC
rnacentral:rRNA from 1 species